AACGUAGGACACAAGCGUUAUCCGGAGUUACUGGGCGUAAAGGGCGUGUAGGCGGAUCGGUAAGUCUACUCUGAAAGCUCCUGGCUAAACUGGGAGAGGCGAGUGGAGACUGUCGGUCUAGAGUGAGGAAGAGGAAAGUGGAAUUCCGCGUGUAGUGGUGAAAUGCGUAGAGAUGCGGAGGAACACCAGUGGCGAAAGCGGCUUCUGGUCCUUAACUGACGCUGAG
rnacentral:rRNA from 1 species